AGGUAUUGAAAUGGUCAGCUGAAGGAUACAUGAUGGUGUAGUGAGGAGAUUAGGAGAGAUCCGAUACAUAUCCGAUUUCAGGCAGAAUCUUAUCUCAUUGAGCAGACUGGAUUCGAGAGGCUACAAGAUGGUAGCUGGUGGAGAAAUCCUGAGGGUGCUAUGUGGCGAUAGGAUUAUGUUAGAGGAGAAGAAGGAGAGCAGAGGAUAUUAUUACCUGAUAGAGAGUCCAGUGUGAAGUGAAGCUUUAGCAGCUAGGUGAAGCUCAGAGUGAGGUGGAGCUCC
rnacentral:lncRNA from 1 species